GACGAACGCUGGCGGCGUGCCUAAUACAUGCAAGUAGGACGCAGUUGCGAACGGGUGAGUAACGAGUAGGUCACUACCUAUUAGAGGGUGAUAACUAUUGGAAACGAUAGCUAAUACCGCAUACUAGUCGAUUGACCUGCGUUGUAUUAGCUAGUAGGUUGGGGAAUGGCCUACCUAGGCAAAGAUACAUAGCCGAGCUUAGAAGGUGGACGGGCACACUUGGGAUGGGGAAAGGCCCAAGCUCCUUCGGGAGGGAAGAGUAGGGAAACUUCGGCAAUGGGGGGAACCCUGAACGAGCAACGCCGCGUGAGAGAAGAAGGUUUUCGGAGCGUAAAGCUAUGUUGUGAAGGGAGCGGUACUUAAACAGUAAGGGACGGCUAACUACGUGCCAGCAGCCGCGGUAAUAC
rnacentral:rRNA from 1 species